GUGGGGAAUUUUGGACAAUGGGCGCAAGCCUGAUCCAGCCAUUCCGCGUGAGUGAAGAAGGCCUUCGGGUUGUAAAGCUCUUUCGCAAGGGAAGAAAACUUAGUCUCUAACAUAGACUGAGGUUGACGGUACCUUGAUAAGAAGCACCGGCUAACUACGUGCCAGCAGCCGCGGUAAUACGUAGGGUGCGAGCGUUAAUCGGAAUUACUGGGCGUAAAGCGUGCGCAGGCGGUUUUGUAAGUCAGAUGUGAAAUCCCCGAGCUCAACUUGGGAACUGCGUUUGAAACUACAAGACUAGAAUAUGUCAGAGGGGGGUAGAAUUCCACGUGUAGCAGUGAAAUGCGUAGAGAUGUGGAGGAAUACCAAUGGCGAAGGCAGCCCCCUGGGAUAAUAUUGACGCUCAUGCACGAAAGCGUGGGGAGCAAACAGGAUUAGAAACCCUUGUAGUCC
rnacentral:rRNA from 1 species